UACAGAGGUCUCAAGCGUUGUUCGGAUUCAUUGGGCGUAAAGGGUGUGUAGGUGGCGCGCUAAGUCGGGGUGUGAAAUUUCGGAGCUUAACUUCGAAACUGCAUUCGAUACUGGCGUGCUUGAGGACUGGAGAGGAGACUGGAAUUUACGGUGUAGCAGUGAAGUGCGUAGAUAUCGUAAGGAAGACCAGUGGCGAAGGCGGGUCUCUGGACAGUUCCUGACACUGAGACACGAAGGCCCAGGGGGAGCAAAACGGG
rnacentral:rRNA from 1 species